rnacentral:tRNA from 1 species
ACCUCUUGAGUAUGACUCCAGUACGGCUGCUUUCCAAGCAGAAGGAUUAAGAAAAACUUAAAGGAGGUA